UCUGAAGGCUGUCAUAGUAUACCAGUGCCAGUAAUUCGUGUAUCUCGCACUGUUGAGCUAAUGUCUUUGCCAAAGCCAAACUGACUAACAGACAGCGCCUGCUCCUCCUUUGACUUGUCUCAACUCUCUGAGGCAAAGUACCAUCCUUUCUACAUCCUCAUCAUAAAUAUUUCCAAGCUGUUGCCAACUCUCAAACUGUAAAGGGUUGUACAGAGGAUCAUAUUUGAAGAGAUUUGCAU
rnacentral:misc_RNA from 1 species